GGGGAAUAUUGCACAAUGGGGGAAACCCUGAUGCAGCGACGCCGCGUGGAGGAAGAAGGUCUUCGGAUUGUAAACUCCUGUUGUUGGGGAAGAUAAUGACGGUACCCAACAAGGAAGUGACGGCUAACUACGUGCCAGCAGCCGCGGUAAAACGUAGGUCACAAGCGUUGUCCGGAAUUACUGGGUGUAAAGGGAGCGCAGGCGGGAAGACAAGUUGGAAGUGAAAUCUAUGGGCUCAACCCAUAAACUGCUUUCAAAACUGUUUUUCUUGAGUAGUGCAGAGGUAGGCGGAAUUCCCGGUGUAGCGGCGGAAUGCGUAGAUAUCGGGAGGAACACCAGUGGCGAAGGCGGCCUACUGGGCACCAACUGACGCUGAGGCUCGAAAGUGUGGGUAGCAAACAGGAUUAGAUACCCUGGUAGUCCACACCGUAAACGAUGAUUACUAGGUGUUGGAGGAUUGACCCCUUCAGUGCCGCAGUUAACACAAUAAGUAAUCCACCUGGGGAGUACGACCGCAAGGUUGAAACUCAAAGGAAUUGACGGGGGCCCGCACAAGCAGUGGAGUAUGUGGUUUAAUUCGACGCAACGCGAAGAACCUUACCAAGUCUUGACAUCCCUUGACAGACAUAGAAAUAUGUAAUCUCUUCGGAGCAAGGAGACAGGUGGUGCAUGGUUGUCGUCAGCUCGUGUCGUGAGAUGUUGGGUUAAGUCCCGCAACGAGCGCAACCCUUAUGGUCAGUUACUACGCAAGAGGACUCUGGCCAGACUGCCGUUGACAAAACGGAGGAAGGUGGGGAUGACGUCAAAUCAUCAUGCCCUUUAUGACUUGGGCUACACACGUACUACAAUGGCGUUAAACAAAGAGAAGCAAGACCGCGAGGUGGAGCAAAACUCAGAAACAACGUCCCAGUUCGGACUGCAGGCUGCAACUCGCCUGCACGAAGUCGGAAUUGCUAGUAAUCGUGGAUCAGCAUGCCACGGUGAAUACGUUCCCG
rnacentral:rRNA from 1 species